GAGGGUAUAGCUCAGUGGUAGAGUGCAUGCCUAGCAUGUAUGAGGUCCUCGGUUCAACCCUCAGUAUCUCA
rnacentral:tRNA from 1 species